UACGUGAGAAUCUGCCCUUAGGAGGAGAAUAACUGCUGGAAACGGCCGCUAACUCUCCAUAUGCCGAGAGGUGAAAUAGUUUAAUCUGCCUAAGGAUGAGCUCACGCCUGAUUAGCUUGUUGGUGAGGUAAUGGCUCACCAAGGCCACGAUCAGUAGCUGGUUUGAGAGAACGAUCAGCCACACUGGGACUGAGACACGGCCCAGACUCCUCCGGGAGGCAGCAGUGAGGAAUUUUCCGCAAUGGGCGAAAGCCUGACGGAGCAAUACCGCGUGAGGGAUGAAGGAUUUUGGUCUGUAAA
rnacentral:rRNA from 1 species